rnacentral:tRNA from 1 species
CAGUAAAUAGUUUAUGUUAAAAUAUUAAUUUUGGAUAUUAAAGAAAUUUAUUUUUUACUGA